UCGAUUUUCGGAUCUGGCAACGCUGGUCGCAUCCAUCAUCAUAUGAUGCAUCAUUCAAAAUGGCGGUUCUGAAGAAAUCAGCGUAGACAAGGCUUCUUUUAAUUGCUCUUAUGUUUGUAUUUUAUUGUGUCUGUUGAAGAAGUUUCAGAAUGGUAACUAAAUAAAUAGUGGCUUGUGAUUUACAGUGUAAAAGCUAAAGGUAGUGACAGCGCCUUGACGGCAGAAAUCAUUCCCAUCAUAGAUAGAUGUGACAUGUGACUUAGAUAUGAAAAAAAAACCGCCUUCCGAAUAUUCGCCUACUUAAGUAUCUUGAACGUGAGAGACUUAAGAUCUCUCUAAGAUGAGAUAAGAUAAUUUAACCGUAUGACUUUAAUAAAAUAUAUUUUCUGUUA